rnacentral:rRNA from 1 species
GUUCAAAAGUGAAAGACGGUCUUGCUGUCACUUAUAGAUGGAUCCGCGCUGCAGUAGCUAGUUGGUAAGGUAACGGCUUACCAAGGCAACGAUGCAUAGCCGACCUGAGAGGGUGAUCGGCCACACUGGAACUGAGACACGGUCCAGACUCCUACGGGAGGCAGCAGUAGGGAAUCUUCCGCAAUGGGCGAAAGCCUGACGGAGC